ACAGGCGGCCACGCCCGUGUGGACGACAAUCGGACUUCGGCCAGCAAGACGUGAAAGUGAGACACCAGGUAGAGCACACGGAUUUGAAGGAUGUCAAAGAAAAGAAAACUGGAAACAAGCCACUUCUUGAGGAGUCAACGUAAGCCUUCGCUGCCGCUCUCCAACAUGACAUCCACCUGUGUGAAGAUGAUUCACUCGCUCUAUGAGCAGGGAGGCGAGGGAAGCCCUUC